rnacentral:tRNA from 1 species
GCUGUCAUCGUCUAAUUGGACUAGGACAUCAGACUUUCAAUCUGAGAAAUACGGGUUCGAAUCCCGUUGACAGUA